AAAGCCGCUGUGCUGUCGGGUUAUAACUCAUCAGGGCGCUGCCUUUUUGUCGGCAUAAACGUCGCCAUCGACUUCGGUUAUAGAGUAUUUCUGCGCACCUUAGAGCAUCCGCAGGAAAUAAUCGUGGCAUCAAGGCGACAAAAUGACAAGAUAACGUAGAUGCGUGAUUGCGACAGAAUUAAUAUUUCUAUUUGAGAAUAGGUCUGACAGCAAGGCAUGGGCUGCAGGUCAUAUUUAAGAGAUUCAUUAAAAAAUAUUGCGAUCCUA